rnacentral:lncRNA from 1 species
CACGUUCUAGAUCUACAAUCAAACAAACGAAAAUAAAAUACUACCUUUUUUACCUCGGAUUCCGAUCUGCUUCUUCUCUAAUCUUUGAAUUCGCUUCUGUUCAUCAAACUCGGUUCUGAUACUUGUUGAAACGGCGCGAUUGAACCUUUGUUUAAAUCGGAUCCGUUACUCUUAUUGUUGUGGGUUCGGAUUCGAGUUUGUAAGUGACGGAUUCAAAAGAAAAGGUGAUGUUUAAGUGCGAAACUUGAUUUAUUUGAGGUGUUUAUGAACAGAUUCGGUUUGAAUAAAGUGUUGGUUGAAAUCGGUUUGGAUUUGAGUGUUUGAUUUUGAAAUUUUUGAAAGAGAAAAAAAAAUUAGGGUUUGAUGAUUGCGGCUACUGGUUGGUGAUUCUGUG